GGGGUGCAAGCUACAACAGAUUAACCCCUUAAGGACCAAACUGGAAUAAAAGGGAAUCUUAACAUGUCGCACAUCUCGUGUCCUUAAGGGGUUAAAGGACCACUAUAGGCACCCAGACCACUUUAGCUCAAUGCAGUGGUCUGGGUGCCAGGUCCAUCUAGGGUUAACCCUGUCUGCUGUAAACAUAGUUUCAGAUAAAACUAGACAGCCACUAGAGGCGCUUCCGCGCUUCUC